rnacentral:rRNA from 1 species
UACAGAGGGUGCAAGCGUUGCUCGGAAUACUGGGCGUAAAGCGUGUGUAGGCGGUCCGAAAAGUGGGGUGUGAAAGCCCUGGGCUCAACCCAGGAACUGCGCCCCAAACUGCCGGACUUGAGUGUCGGAGAGGAUAGUGGAAUUCCCAGUGUAGAGGUGAAAAUUCGUAGAUAUUCGCAAGAACACCAGUGGCGAAGGCGGCUCACUGGCCCGGUACUGACGCUGAGGUGCGAAAGCGUGGGGAGCAAACAGG